CCAUUGUUUGCAAUAAUGGUGGCUUUGGAUUCGAGGUUUAUGUCCACCUAACUCUAGACGUAAAACACGCCUCCAUGUGCUGGCAGCAGGCAGGUGCAGAACAGAAUAAAAAUGCCCAUUUGAGGCUUUCAUCAGUGUCUUCACUUUGACUGAGGAGAGAGCAGUGUGAUCAGAUCUACGUUCUAGUGCAUGUUUUUUGUCUGACGAGAAUGAAGCCUUGCAUGAUGAUGAUGUCAGAGGGUCUGUUCUUACUCCUGGUCAUACAAGCUCUUCAUCAUACUUCAGUUGGUCAAUCCACCACUCCUUCUUUCACCACCACCACCUCUAGACCAGCAACCACCACCACCCCUCCUACUACCACCACCCCUCCUU